rnacentral:pre_miRNA from 1 species
CAGUCCUGUCUCAGGAAGCAGAGUCUGGGACAUCUCCACCAUGACCUGGGUUGUGCUUCUCCUCACCGUGCUUGCUCACUGCACAGGCGG